GUGAAUCAUCGAAUCUUUGAACGCAAAUUGCGCUUCCUGGCAUCCCGGGAAGUAUGCCUGUUUGAGGGUCAGUAUUAACAAAAAAUCGGCUUGGUUGCAAAUUGUGACGUUUCCGGAGUUCGGGCUAUCUUAACUUUUUUGGUUAAGGGGCUUAAAAUUGACCUUUUUUGCGCACCUUUAGACGUACAUAAAUUUUUUUUUUAUUUGUCUAUUCUUACUGCUAAAAACUCAUUAG
rnacentral:misc_RNA from 1 species